GGGGGAACCCCAUAAAGACGUGUAAACCUGUUUCCGUGGAAAGGUCACAGACAAUUCACUUUCAAUUCAACUCAAACAAAGCUUUGUGCAUUAUUUUCACAGUCAAAAUAAAUCAAUCCAGCAUUUUUUUUUAUAAAUGUAAGUUGUUAUUUCCACUGUGGAGUAAAGGAGCUGUGGGUAAACUGACUCCAUGUUGCACAGCAGCUGUGAGAUGGAUUGUUUUCCAGAGCAUCACCUCCAUAUGGAAUAAUAGGAUGUCUGCAUAACGGAAGGUGAGUUUUCUGCACAAUGUUGGCUCUAUAUAUGUAGAGCUACGCCCUGUAGCCCUUUGGGGAUACACUAUGCUAGUUAUGUUUGGAAAAAAAUUACCUCAUGCAAUGUGAUUUGAAAGGCAUUACAACAAUUCAUUGAUAAACGAUUAUGCUUUAAUAUACAUGUCUGCAAUACAUAGUCAUAGUAUACAAGCUUUAUUCUAUUUUUGACUAAAUCUAUUGAAAAUGACAAAGUGAAAGAGAAAGCAGAAACGAAAGUUUUUUUACAACAAUGAUCUACACUCUCAGCUGGAUGAUCGUCUUUUUCUUUGUCUUUUCUUUCUUUAUUAAGAUCGGAAUAAUAACGUAUAUAAGCAUUCAUACUUAGCGACAGGCAAAUAUUUCGCUGUAAGAUUGUUUUGUCAUAUUUAAAUGGCUACUCCCAGAACAGGCAUUUGUUAGUGCGAUCUGCGCAGUUGGUCAAAGUGUAUAAAAAACGCCAUAUCAUGAACCGCCGCUAGAUGUCGCCAGAUACGCCCGACUCGUGGGCAACAUGUGUGUCUUAUAUCUUCCGUGAUUAUUCACAUUUAUUUCCAAAAAUAUCUUUAAGCUAAUGUAUAUCUUAAUGGAUAAGUGUGUCCAUAUCAAAGACGUGCUGUAGUUAAUAACAAAUGUAAGGAUACUGGUUACUUUUAAGUUUUUCUCAUCUGUAUUUAUCUGAUCGCUGACACUUUGCACUAAGUUUGCAACUAAAAAGUGGAAAGUACAUUUAAGCUACUCCUACUUUCAUAUUUACAGUUUGUGCUACUUUAUGCCUCUACUCUUCUACAUUUCAGAGGGAAAUAUGUUUUAUUUUACUCAUUGCGUCACUCAUUGAGUCCUUCUUCCACCACUGAUCCAAAACAUGAAAUUAUCUAAAGAAAUAUAAAAUAAAUAUCAACAGUAAUUUGAAAGUUUAAACUACCUAAAAUAAUACAAAACUACAUCUAUUUGAUAACUUUAAUUACUAUUUACCAGUGGUGGAAUGUGACUCAAUACAUUUACUCAAGUACUUAAGUACAAUUUUGAGGUAUUUGUACUUUACUAUUUCUAUUUUAUGCUACUUUAUACUUCAACUCCACUACAUUUAUUUGACAAGAUUACUUUCCUGUUACUUUGCAGAUUCAUAUUAUUAAUACAACAUGUAAAUCAACUAAUAAAUGAUGAUCUAAUAUUAUAGAUUAAACUAUCCAAAAGUAUUAAAUAUGAAAUAUAAGUUGAAAUGUUCUCCAACUUUAUCAGCUGCAACAUGUGUGAUGCUUACAUGCAUCACUACCACAUAAUGGUAUUAUAUAAUGUAUAAUAUAUAUUAUUCUGAAAUGGGCAC
ensembl:lncRNA